rnacentral:rRNA from 1 species
UACGAAGGGGGCUAGCGUUGCUCGGAAUCACUGGGCGUAAAGCGCACGUAGGCGGAUCGCUAAGUCAGGGGUGAAAUCCUGGAGCUCAACUCCAGAACUGCCUUUGAUACUGGCAAUCUCGAGUCCGGGAGAGGUGAGUGGAACUGCGAGUGUAGAGGUGAAAUUCGUAGAUAUUCGCAAGAACACCAGUGGCGAAGGCGGCUCACUGGCCCGGUACUGACGCUGAGGCGCGAAAGCCAGGGGAGCAAACGGG